GGGGCAGCACGUCUUCGGAUGGUGGCGACCGGCGCACGGGUGCGUAACGCGUAUACAACCUACCUUAUAGAGGGGGAUAGCCCAGGGAAACUUGGAUUAAUACCCCAUGGUAUUAUGGAUCAGCAUUGAUUUAUAAUUAAACAUUUAUGGCUAUAAGAUGGGUAUGCGUCCUAUUAGUUAGUUGGUAAGGUAACGGCUUACCAAGACGUCGAUAGGUAGGGGUCCUGAGAGGGAGAUCCCCCACACUGGUACUGAGACACGGACCAGACUCCUACGGGAGGCAGCAGUGAGGAAUAUUGGACAAUGGGCGAGAGCCUGAUCCAGCCAUGCCGCGUGCAGGAAGACGGCCCUAUGGGUUGUAAACUGCUUUUGUACGGGAAGAAACACCUCCUCGUGAGGAGGUUUGACGGUACCGUAAGAAUAAGGAUCGGCUAACUCCGUGCCAGCAGCCGCGGUAAUACGGAGGAUCCAAGCGUUAUCCGGAAUCAUUGGGUUUAAAGGGUCCGUAUGCGGGACAAUAAGUCAGCGGUGAAAGUCUGUGGCUCAACCAUAGAAUUGCCAUUGAUACUGUUGUUCUUGAAUACUUAUGAAGUGUUGGAAUAUGUAGUGUAGCGGUGAAAUGCAUAGAUWUACAUAGACACCGAUUGCGAAGGCAGAUCACUAAUAAGUCAUUGACGCUGAUGGACGAAAGCGUAGGUAGCGAACAGGAUUAGAUACCGUGGUAGUCUACGCCGUAAACGAUGGUUACUAGCUGUUUGGCCCGAUUGAGGGCUGAGUGGCUAAGCGAAAGUGAUAAGUAACCCACCUGGGGAGUACGUUCGCAAGAAUGAAACUCAAAGGAAUUGACGGGGGCCCGCACAAGCGGUGGAGCAUGUGGUUUAAUUCGAUGAUACGCGAGGAACCUUACCAGGGCUUAAAUGUAGUCUGACAGGGGUGGAAACACCCUUUUCUUCGGACAGAUUACAAGGUGCUGCAUGGUUGUCGUCAGCUCGUGCCGUGAGGUGUCAGGUUAAGUCCUAUAACGAGCGCAACCCCUGUUGUUAGUUGCCAGCACAUAAUGGUGGGAACUCUAACAAGACUGCCGGUGCAAACCGCGAGGAAGGUGGGGAUGACGUCAAAUCAUCACGGCCCUUACGUCCUGGGCCACACACGUGCUACAAUGGUAAGGACAGAGAGCAGCCACUACACGAGUAGGAGCGAAUCUAUAAACCUUAUCACAGUUCGGAUCGGAGUCUGCAACUCG
rnacentral:rRNA from 1 species